AGUGCUGAGGCCGGCGUAGCGCGUCAGUGCCCGUCCCCCCCGACGUCCCCACGCUGUCCCCCCACGUGUCCCACGCCGGUGGCUGACAGUCCCCUCGACAGCCCCCAUGACGUCCCCACGCCGGUGGCUGACAGUCCCCUCAACAUCCCCAUGACGUCCCCACGUCGUCCCUCUCAACAUCCCCAUGACUUUCUCACGCUGUCCCCCUCGACGUCCCCAUGACGUCCCCACGCUGUCCCCAUGACGUCCCUGUCGACGUCCCCACGCCGGUGGGUGACAGUCCUCUCAACAUCCCCAUGACGUCCCCACGUCGUCCCUCUCGACAUCCCCACGCUGUCCCCCUCGACGUCCCCAUGACGUCCCCACGCUGUCCCCAUGACGUCCCCACACCGUCGCUCUCGACAUCCCCAUGACGUCCCCACGACGUCCCCCGCGGUCCCCCGCCGUCCCCCUUGCUCUUCUCUGGACCGCGGAAAGGUGGGUGCAGACCGACGGGGCAGCAGCCGAGCAGAGCCCAGGGUCGCGCCUGGUCCCGGCCGCCGUCGGGCUGCGGUCACCGCGGUCCCGGCCCCGCCGAUGCCUGCCGUCGCCUCUGCCCCGGGGCCCGCGUCACAGCGGCCUGAAGGGACAACGUCAUCCACGGGCUCCAGCAGUGACGGGCAGACCGCAGCGAGUUUCAAGGUGCAGGUGUGCCUCCCUAAGGCCCUUGAAAGAUGACAAGUUUUGCUCAAGGAGCCAAGCAGGGCCUGACCAAGCAGAGGAACCACAGGUGAGGUGACGGCUCAUCAUGUCCCAGGAUGACCCUGCACGCUCCUGCCUGCCACGCUUGAUGCUUCCUGCCACCUGCUGGCGCAGGGGUUCCUGUGGCUGUUCCCGCACAGACCUCGGAGGAGAAGGCGGCUCUGUAAGUAACUGCCCACGGUUAGUGACCCGGUGGCUGGGAGCCCAAGCAGUGCGGCUCCAGCGUCCCCACCUGUAACCCUUCCGUUCAAGUCCACUGGGCGAGGGCAAAGGGGUACAAACCUAGGACUUCACGAGUUACUUGUCCGUUAAUGGUCAGUGGAGGCAAAUGGGCAAGAUCCGGGACAGGUACAUUUCACUCGAGGCAGGGAUUCCCGAAGAGCUCAUGUGAUUGAAAACUCCCAGAAAUCGAGAAUCGUGUCCCCCCCCCUCCCCGGCCCCAUGAAUCACCGUGUAGUAGAGAAGUUACCGCCUUACACGCUGCAUCAAUCCACAGCAGCCCUAUUUGCAUGUAUCAUGUGUACGAAUAUUAGGACAUCGGAAGGGCUUGCAGGUGGCUGGGGCUGCUCUAACAGAGGGCCACAGGCUGUGUGGCUUCAGCAUUUAUCUUCCCACAGCUGUGGAGUCUAGAGGGCCAAGACCAAGGUGUCCGCGGGGCUGGUUUCUCCCGAGGCCUCUCUCCUUGGCUAGUAGGUGAUUGUCCUCUCCCUGUGCCUUUAUAUGAUCUUCCCUCUGUGCUCGUGUCCUAGGCCCCUUUUACAAGCAUGUGAGUCAUUUUAGGUUUGGGGCAGCCCCAGAAACCUCACUCUAACCCAGGCACCUCUUUAGAGACCUCAUCUUCAAAUACAGCCGUGUUCUGAAGUGUACGGGGGUUAGGAGCACCAAUAUGAAUUUGGAGCGGGGCGGGGGACACAACGUAGCCCAUAACGAAGUGAAUGAUAAAUAAAAAUACAUAAAACGAUUUUAGCA
rnacentral:lncRNA from 12 species